rnacentral:tRNA from 1 species
GCCGGGGUGGCCGAGCUAGGUCCAAGGCGCGGGCCUGGAGAGUCCGUCCCCGCAAGGGGGCCCGGGUUCAAAUCCCGGCCCCGGCACCA